CUGCCUGCGGUCUCUUACCUCUCCCUUCUGGCUCUUUGCUUAUAAAAAUUUAAAAAAAAACUCCAAAUUCCCUAAAUAAUAAAUAUAGUCAGCGACAGAUGGUGCCAUAAUGGUAAAGAGAGGGACGGGAAACAAGAGAACGAUCGAGAUAUCGCAGUGGGGAAGGGGAUUGGAUUCUUGGAAGGGAUGGACGUUCGGAACGUGGACAACGCCUCCGCCGCACUGUCCUCACGGGCGCCGUCUUCGAAGCAACCCAAGACGCCGCCCAAUCCCGUCGACACCACUUCGGCGUCCCAGAGUCUCCAGAAGGAGUUGAUGUCUAUGAUGGCGCGUUCUGCUUCUUGCCCUUCCCCUAUUUUUCUAUUAUUUUUAUCAUUUCCAAUGGAAAAGAAGAAUCUUGGAUGUUUUGCAUCUUCUUCUUGCGAUGAGCAACAAAGAUAUUGGGAGGAUAUUAUGAUUCUGGAAUGAAUUAUGGGAAAUUUUUCUUAGGCUUUGGUUCUCGAUUAUAAUAGCAUUCUCUGGCAGUCGAUGCAUUACUUGUUUGAGAUUAGUUUUGGGAUAUCACUCCUUCUAGCAUUGCGACUUGGGAAAAAUCGGAUUUCUCUUUUCUACCUUUCUUUUAUAGAUGGAUGGUAUUUACAGGUGUGUUUGCAAUUUGAGUUGCAAUGGGGUUCUUUUAUUUUUGGUAGAAGUAAUUGUCUCAUUUUAAGGUUGAUCAGAUCAUCAUAAAAUUUCAGACUUAGGCUAAUCUGCUGGAGAGAAGAUUCUGAAUUUUUUUUAAAAAAAAUCUUUUUUCUUUUUUAAUUGAGUUCUGGUGUUCUACACAAUUGUUUGAGUGUCUCUUAUAAUUUAAGCUGGCUAAUUAUGUGCCACCUAUUAAAGAAUGAUUAUUGUUGUAUUGUAUCCAUUCCUUGAAUUCUCUUCUUUGCUAUUAAGUUCCCAUUUCAAAAACCUGCCAACUCUCAUAUAAGUUAUUGAUUGUUGUAGGAUUUUUCUAAAUUAUAUGACUCCACCCUUAGGCUACUUGAUUGGGAAUAUAUUUUUUAGAAAUUUUGGGUCAUGGUAGUAAAGUUUCAGACUCAGGCUAAUCUGCUGGAAAGAAUAUUCUGAUUUUUUCUUUUUUCUUUUUUGUAAAAAAAAUUGUUUUGUUUUCUUUAUUCUUUCGUUGAGUUCUGGUGUUCUAUACAAUUGUUUGAGUGUCUCUUAUAAUUUAAGCUGGUUAAUCAUGUGCCACCUAUUAAAGGAUCAUUAUUGUUGUCCUAUGUUCAUUCCUUGAAUUUUCUACUUGACUAUUAAGUUACCCAUUUCAAAAACCUGUCAACUCUCAUAUAAGUAAGGUACUGAUUGUUGUAGGAUUUUCUAAAUUAUAUGAUUGUCAUCCUUAGGCUACUCGAUUGGGAAAUAUAUUUUAGAAAUUUUGUCAUUCUCACUUUCUCUGGUCAAAAAAGGCUUAGGGGGGGCCUUCCAAGCCUCAUGAGAAUGCUAAAGAGGGCAUCUAGCAUGCCCCCUACUUUUUUUUUUAAGGAAAAAUUGUUGCACAGGCUGGUGUUGGCGUCAGCUGAACCGAGCUUGGCACCAGGUCGUGCAUGCCCGUUUUGACUGGGACAACUGAUUCAGGACUUGUACUAUCUGAAACAUGCUUUGGUACUUAUCAGUACCAGCUAGUUUCAAAUGGGAUGGCCAGAAUGGUGCAGUAUUGGUGAUUCUAUCCCAUUUCAGCAGUAUUUGAAUCCAUGGAGACGACAAUCUCCUUCACAAUAGGAUUGAAGAUCUAUUGUAAAUGCGGAAGCUUCUUCAGUGAAAUUUCUAACCAAGAGAUUCUAAAGCCUGAUUUUGAUUAGACCUUAUUGCUUCUUGAAGGAAGAACUGAAGAAUGGAUAAAGCCAUCCUAAAUCUGUUGAAAGGGGACUAUCCUUGAUAUGAAGAGGUAUAUUGACUUAAUCUGUUCUCCAAUCGCUUGUCUCUGUUGGUUGGGUUGUUUCAAAGUCCCUUUGCUAUGGAAGAAAUUGAAAAGUUGUUUUAGAAC